AUGAAAGGGGCCAGAGCAUGAAAAUCCCCUGGCUUGAGAAUGGGUCCAACAUGUAGAGGCGAUACAAGCUUCCCCUGCAUGCUACCCUAUUGAUGUGACCACAUCCUGACCUGGAGCGACCUCCUUUAGGGCUAAGAGUGAUUUUCAGUCUCCAUAGCCCAUCCAGUCCUUGGUCACA
ensembl:misc_RNA